GAGUUUGAUUAUGGCUCAGGAUGAACGCUAGCGGCAGGCCUAACACAUGCAAGUCGAGGGGUAGAGUGCUUCGGCACUUGAGACCGGCGCACGGGUGCGUAACACGUGUACAAUCUACCUUUUGCUAAGGGAUAGCCCGAAGAAAUUUGGAUUAAUACCUUAUAGUAUUGUUUGGUGGCAUCACUGAAUAAUUAAAGCUCUGGUGGCAAAAGAUGAGUACGCGUCCCAUUAGCUAGUUGGUGUGGUAACGGCAUACCAAGGCUACGAUGGGUAGGGGUCCUGAGAGGGAGGUCCCCCACACUGGUACUGAGACACGGACCAGACUCCUACGGGAGGCAGCAGUGAGGAAUAUUGGACAAUGGUCGGAAGACUGAUCCAGCCAUGCCGCGUGCAGGAUGACGGCCUUAUGGGUUGUAAACUGCUUUUAUACAGGAAGAAUAAGGUCUACGAGUAGAUUGA
rnacentral:rRNA from 1 species